AGCAGCCGCGGUAAUUCCAGCUCCAAUAGCGUAUAUUAAAGUUGUUGCAGUUAAAAAGCUCGUAGUUGAAUUUCGGGAUCAGUUGGUCGGUCGUGCCUCGGUACGUACUGGUCAAAUUGAUUCCUACCUUCUGACGAACCACGAUGUCAUUAAUUUGGUGUCGCGGGAAAUCAGGACUGUUACUUUGAAAAAAUUAGAGUGUUUAAAGCAGGCUCGCGCUUGAAUACAUUAGCAUGGAAUAAUGAAAUAGGACGUUUGAUUCUAUUUUGUUGGUUUCUAGGAUCGACGUAAUGAUUAAUAGGGAUAGUUGGGGGCAUUAGUAUUCAAUUGUCAGAGGUGAAAUUCUUGGAUUUAUUGAAGACUAACUACUGCGAAAGCAUUUGCCAAGGAUGUUUUCAUUAAUCAAGAACGAAAGUUAGGGGAUCGAAGACGAUCAGAUACCGUCGUAGUCUUAACCAUAAACUAUGCCGACUAGGGAUCGGAUGAUGUUAAUUU
rnacentral:rRNA from 1 species